UCAAGAUGGAGUCUCGCUCUGUUGCCCAGACUGGAGUGUAGUGGCGUGAUCUCGGCUCACUGCAAGCUCCGCCUCCCGGGUUGACGCCAUUCUCCUGCCUCAGCCUCCCAAGUAGCUGGGACCACAGGCACCCACCACCACACUCAGCUAAUUUUUUGUAUUUUUAGUAGAGACGGGAUUUCACCAUGUUAGCUAGGAUGGUCUCGAUCUCCUGACCUCCUGAUGCACCCACCUCGGCCUCCCAAAGUGUUGGGAUUACAGACUGUGAUCAUAUACAUCCUUCCCUUGGCAAGAUCAAGGCUGCAUCUGAUUAAGCCAAUUUGGGCAGGCUGUUUAUAGUCACUGCCUAAUCAUUGAGAGAGUUUACACCAUGAAUGGGAUCAUCGGCCACCCAUUCGACAUGAGACUGCCAUUGGAUAUUUACAUCAUUUCAGCCAAAGCACCUUGCAGAUCUCACUUUCUUCUCCUCUCGCUCCUAGGAUGAUUGGCAGAUGCCAUGCAGGACUCCUCCACUAUUGGCUGACACCCUCCAAGGAAACUGCCAGAUCAAAGUUUGAUUAGUUAGAGGGCACAUCCCUGAAUGCCACAGCAGAAACUAAUGAUUCCACAGCAAGAGAGCCAUGCCCUGAUGUCACUGCCUAGCUGGUGCAGAUGUUGAAAGCAGAGUUCCUUCAUCUCCCAACCAGCUGCCCUCCCCAAGCCUCUCUGCCUUGAGUCUAUUCUCUGCACUCCCCUCUGAUAAUCAUUGGAUAGCUUUCCAUACAAGGUCAAAAUCCUUUACAACCUGACCCCAGCCUUUUAUCUCUGACCACCCUGUACAUUACACCGUUUACUCCAACCAUCGGCAACCAACAUCCAUUUCCUGAAACGCAAUCCACUCUUAAGUCUGGUGACCUUUGCACAUACUGUCUCUUCUGACUAAAAUGUUUUUCCCUUUGACUGACACCAAUCCAACCUAUAAGACCUUGUCCAAAUAGCAUCUCCUCCAUGCUACCCCCUAUCUGGGUUCCAACUUCACAACAUACAUGCUUCUAGUGCAACACUAAUCUCAUUUGCUAUGGUUUGGAUAUUUGUCCCCUCCAAACCUUAUAUUGAAAUUUGAUCCCCAGUGUUGGAAGUGGGGCUUAAUGAGAGGUGUUUGGGUCAUGGAGGUAGAUUCCUCAUGAAUACAUUAAUGACCUGAAUUGGGGGAAUGAGAGAGUUAUUACUCUAUUAGCUCCCUCAAGAGCUGAUUGUUUAAUAGGCCCUGGCACCUCUUCCCACCUUGUUUUCUCUCUAGCCAUGUGAUCUCUGGACACACUGGCUCCCAUUUGCCUUCCACCAUAGUAGAAGCAGCCUGAGGCCCUCAGAUGCAGAUGCUGGUGCCAUGUUUCUCGUACAGUCUUGAGUUACCAUGCGCCAAAUAAACCUCUUUUCUUUAUAAGUUACCCAGUUUUCACUAAGGCAACACUGUUAUAAAUUCAUUCUGCUGUGUUAUAAAUUAAUUCUUUGUCAGUUCCUGAACUCCUCGAGGUCAGGAGUAUGUCUUGUGUUUCUAAUUUCUGCAGGAAAUCCUGCAGCAAUGAGGUUCAGUGUAAAUCCACUGAACAAACACGUUUAAAUAAACUUGGCUUUGAAGAGCACGUGAUGACUUACAAAGGGCUACUCCACCCAGUCGCUAAUGUUCUAUAGUUGCAGAGGGCACCUAUCCUUGUGUUUCCAGUCCUAAGAGUCCCUUUCUGGUUUCAGUGAAGUUUAGAGGACCCAUCAUUCCACUGAUCAAUAAACGCCAUAUCUACUUUACCUU
rnacentral:lncRNA from 1 species